rnacentral:rRNA from 1 species
GACAGAGGGUGCAAACGUUGUUCGGAAUUACUGGGCGUAAAGCGCGUGUAGGCUGCUCCGCAAGUCGGAUGUGAAAGCCCACGGCUUAACCGUGGAAGUGCCUCUGAUACUGCGGGUCUCGAGGGAGGUAGGGGCGUGCGGAACUUCCGGUGGAGCGGUGAAAUGCGUAGAUAUCGGAAGGAACACCGGUGGCGAAAGCGGCGCGCUGGACCUCUUCUGACGCUGAGGCGCGAAAGCCAGGGGAGCGAACGGG